CAAAGGUACUUUGCUUAUUCUCUCUCUCGGGCUUCAGAAGACUCUGGAAGCUGCUUAUUGCCCAGUAUUUUCCACUGCAACCCCAGGCAGACUUAGACUGCAUCUCUACCUGCUGGACACCAAGGAGAUCGACAACCCUGUUUUUAGCUUUCUCUUUGGAAUAUGGAGAGUAAAACUUCACUAAUACUCCACCUUUAUUCCAAGGACUGUUUGUGGCAGCUUCCUGAUCCCUGUAUUGUAGCUAUGGCGCCAUGUUCUCAAACUCAGUAUUUCAGCGGCCAUCGGAGACUGCAGCUCCCCAGGGAGGCAGCUGACAUGUUGUGAAGACACUCAGAUUUCUGCCAACAACCAACACUGAUCUGCCAAGCGAGUAAGUGAGCCACCUUAGAAGCAAAACCUCCAACCUCGGUCAAGUGUACAGGAAACUGCAGCACGGGCUGACAUCUUGACUGCAAUCACAUAAAAGACCCCAAACCAGGAUCACCCGCCUAAGUCACUCCUUACCCAUAGAAACUGUGAAGAAGAAACAUCAGUUUUGGUACAACAUGAACCCUAACUCACAGGAGAUCCACCUGCUUCACGUCCCGAGGAAGCGAAUGAACUGGAAGGCAUCAGGCCAAUUACUCAUUAAGUCUCUGCAAUCCAUUUCGAAUCCCAGUUUCCUAUUGAUAUUAUGCCUUGAAUGUCAGGGAUGACUUCCUCCUAGGCAAAAUUAAUAGCUUUUUUAUUGGUCCCCAAAUUUGCCCAUGGUAUUUGAUGUCAGUGGUCACCCCAACUUGAGCACAUUCUUUUGGUUUCUGAGAUCCUGUACUUUCCUGUUAUUAACCAGGGCCAGGGCUAGGGUGAAGAAAGCGAAGUGCUCAGAAUGCAAAAUUCAAGGAGGCACUCACUCUCAGGGUCAUGCGAGUGUAAUGUGUUCACACUGAACACGUUUUUUGGCUAGUCAAGACCAACUGUAUUUAGCACAAUGAAAAGAAUAAAAGCAUUUUGCCUUUAUUUCACUUACUGUUUUUCCACGGCAGAACAUACGGCAGAGACUUGGGAACACGCAUGCCUGAAGCCAGGUUACUCUUAUGUUCCAUAACUAUGUUGCUUGCAGGACUGCAAAAAGAAAGACAAAUUUGCCUAUGCCCGCCUAUCUGUAUUCUCCAGGCAGGCACACACAAGACCAUCAAAAAUGUGUUUUUUGUAAUUUGGGGGAAAACAGCAAACUACAUUCUGACAUGUAAACACAUUUCCAUCAAAACAUUCUUGCAAUUAGAAUGAUUACUACUUCUCUGAAAAGCUCACUGUUCUGUAAAAGCAUUAAGAUGGGUCUGACCAUUUUCAUUUUCCAGAAAUUGAGAUAAACAGCAAUGCCAUCUACUGUUCGGUUGUGUGACAGGCUCAUCAACUCACUCAACAAAUAUGAGAGAUAAAAUGCCAAGACAACCAAACCAAAGGCAACACAUCUCAUAGGACGGAGGGAAAAUUAAAACUGUACUAUUAAAAUUCAUCUUCAAGUUCUUUUAUUUUAGUGCACACACACAAUAAGGUACACGUGCAAUUGUUAACUUAUCUUAGGAGUUAAUAAAAAUUGAUAAGCAUUCUAUUUGGG